GGUCCGUCACAAACCGGAAACACGUUUACAAUUUUUAUCAACAUUUUCCAUUUUCUGAAGAAUUGUGCUCUAUACAAUUGUACAGCAAGCUUGUUUAAUCUAAAGGAAAAUGGUUUCAGACGUUCAACUAGCAAUCUUUGCCAAUGCUCUUGGGGUGUCACUCUUUCUGUUGGUUGUAUUGUAUCAUUAUAUUAGUGUCAACAAUAUAAAGAAACAUGACUAAAGAUAGAUCUUUUGGUAACCAAAAAGUGAAGAGUGCAUGAGGUGUGGAUGUGUAAAUGAAGAUGAAAUUAUUAAAAACACAAAUUAAUUGUUCCUGUAAUUUAGAACCUCUGUAAUAGAUUACAUAUUAUAUAUCACUGUGUACAUCUGUCAGUCAUAAAAAUGUAAGAAAUUUCUCA